rnacentral:tRNA from 1 species
AAGGAAUAAAGUAAAAAUAAGAAGCUGCUAACUAUCUUAAAAGCGGUUUAACUCCGUUAAUUCCUUU